rnacentral:rRNA from 1 species
CAAGUCGAGCGGACAGAAGGGAGUUUGCUCCCAAAUGUUAGCGUCGAACGCAUGAGUAACACUUGAGUAACGUGCCUGUAAGACUGGGAUAACUCCGGGUAUCCGGAGCUAUUUCGGGAUAGUUCCUUGAACUGCAUGUUUCACGGAUGAAGGAUGGUUUCGGCUGUCACUUACAGAUGGACUUCUUGGCUCAUUAACUAGUUGGUGAGGUAAUCGGCUCACCAAGGGGGUGAUGGGUAGCCGACGUGAGAGGGUGAUCGCCCCCUGUGGGGGUGAGACACGGCCCAGACUCUUACGGGAGGCACCAGUUGGGAAUCUUCGCCACUGGAGGAAAGUCUGCCGGAGCAACGAAGCCUGAGUGCUGAAGGUUUUCGGAUGGUAAAGCUGCGUUGUUAGGGAAGACCUAGUUCAAGAGUAACUGCUUGCACGUUGCCGGUCCCUCACCAGAAACCCACGGCUAAUUACGUGCCACCAGCCGCGUUAAUAGUUAGGUGGCAAGCUUUUUCCGGAAUUAUUGGGGGUAAAGGGUUGUCGGGCGGUUUCUUAAUUGUGAUGUGAAUAGCCCCCGGCUCAACCGGGGAGGGUCAUUGGAAAGUGGGAAACUUGAGUGCAGAAGAGGGGAGUGGAUUUCCAGGUGUAGCGGUGAAAUGGGUAGAGACGUGGAGGACCACCAGUGGGGAAGGGGGUUUUUUGGUCUGUAACUGCCGUUGAGGAGGGAAAGGGUGGGGAGCGACCAGGUUUAGAUACCUUGUUUGUCCACUAGCCCGUAACGGAUGAGUGUUAAGUGUUUGUGGCUCUUCCGCCCCUUCCUAGUGCUGCAUCUCAACGCAUUUAGCACUCCCGCUGGAGGCGCAUGCCGGCCCCAGAGUGAAACUCCAAGGGAUUGACGGGGGGCCGCCCCAGCGGUGGAACCUGGGGUUUAAUUCCAAUCCACGCCAAAAACCUUUCCCGGGCUUGACCUCCUCUGACAACCCUGCAGAUAUGGCUUUCCCUUCGGGGACAGAAUGACAGGGGGGGCAGGGUUGCCGCCACCUCGGGCCGUGAAAUGUUGGGUUAAGUCCCGCAACGAGCGCACCCCUUGAUCGUAUUUGCCACCAUUCAUGUGGGCACUCUAAGGGGACUGCCGGUGACCAACCCGAAGAAGGUGGGGAUGACCUCAAAUCAUCCUGCCCCUUAUGACCUGGGCUACACCCCUGCUACCAUGGACCGAACCAAAGGCUGCCAAACCCCAGGGGUGAACCAAUCCCACAAAUCUGUUCUCAGUUCGGAUCGCAGUCUGCAACUCGACUGCCUGAAGCUGGAAUCGCUAGUAAUCGCGGAUCACAUGCCGCGGUGAAUACAUUCCCGGGGCUUGUACACACCCCCCGUCACACCACGAGAGUUUGCAACACCCCAAGUCGGUGAGGUAACCUUUAUGGAGCCAACCGCCCAAUGUGGGGCAGAUGAUUGGAGUGAAGUCAUAACAGGUAACCGCUAA